GCGGCUGUGCUGGAACUGGUAGACAGGCCAGCUUGAGGUGCUGGUGUCCGAAUCGACGUGUGGGUUCAAAUCCCGUCAGCCGCA
rfam:Oscillibacter sp. CAG:155 genomic scaffold, scf96